rnacentral:tRNA from 1 species
UAGUAAAGGAGGGGAUUAGCCGACAUUCUUGG